GGGCUGUCCUGCUCUAACCGCUAGCCUAACUGCCACUAUACAUCUGCAUUUGACAGUUGAGGCACUAGCAUCAUGCAGGCGUGGCACAACCUGACUUUAGAAAAAUGUUCUUAUGUCCUGAUGUUACCACAAGCCCGUCCUCCCCAUUUAAGAUAACAAUGGAAUAAAGCAUGAUGGGGACUGAGGCUGAGAUUGAGACUACAGAGAAAGGGGUCAGCCAGGUUACCGUACCUGCACACAUGACCUCUAUACCUACAACUACAAAAGCAAAUGUCUUUAGGGAGUAUGCGAGCACAGACGUUCCUUUGCCUAGCCGAGUUCUGCUAGGAGCAAGCCAAACCUGCAUGCGGACACCUUUAGAGAACUGAUUAUGCUGUUUGUGGUUGACAUGCACAUUUUGUUACAGUUUCAUAUAGUUUUGUUAAGCCUUUUUUUAAAGCCAUAUAAGCAGAG
ensembl:lncRNA